GCCCUCUCAGGGUUACUCCCGGAGAGUUGCCAAUACUCUACCAGUCUUGACUAUGGGAGGGAGAGUCAAGCAGAGACAUACUCAUUCCAUUCCUAGCUUGACCAGUGGCUAGCGAGUGGAAGGCAAUCUGCUACAAGU